UCUCCGGGUCUCCCCUACCUUUCGGCUUUCGCCCGCCAUUCCAGCCUCUCAAGUAGGCGAAGUAUCCGGUGAAAGAAAAGAAAAGAAAUCCAACAUGACGAUGGCGAGACAGGCGACAGCCGCGCCGGCGGCGCCAUCGGAACGCACCAACUGACUCGAUCCGUGGCCCUCUGCCCCUCUCCUUGGAUUUGGGAUCUCCCGGUUGCCUGCCACCGGGCGGGCACCCGCGCGCCCACCACCUGCUCGCGCAAAUGCGCAGACAGUCCGGCAGGGGCACCACCUGUUGAUCCAGACGCGGCCGGUUACCUCCCGAGUACAGUACUGCUUAAGGGAAUAACGGCAGUAUGCUCUUUCUGAUGAAGUCGACAGCACAUACUGAAGCUCAUUCGCGAGGUGAUGGCUACGGAUCACUUCCAUUAAGGUCAGAAUUAGGAUAGAUGCACUGCAUUUUCUCAAGGUAUGCUCAAAACAAAACAGAGGGUCUUCUCAAUGCAGUAGUCUAGAUUCCUUGAGAUAUUGCUAAUAUUCAAGAGGCUUCAUUGUAUUAGGAGAAGAAGUGCCCUGCCGGUACCUAUUUACCGUCUGGCAUGAACAUAAAAGCUAUUCAGAAACCAGUACUUUCUUGAGAAAAAAGGGAAAAUUCAGAAUCCAGUACUUCCGUUAAUUAUCUUUGUCCGCUACUUUAGAUGUGAACGGUGUGGAACAACCAGAACAAAGCACAAACAACUAAUGCAAUCUGCAUGGCAACCGGCAUAUCUUUGAAGGUGGAAUAGUGCCAGAAAUCCACUAACUUGUACUGAACAUCUUUUUGUUUCAGAGAGAAACAGUAGAGGGCAAAUGAAACAUCUCAAGAUUUAGUUAAAAGGGCAGUCAUCAUGUACCUAGCAAAUCAUUUAAUAACAACCUUAGACAUGUAGGCUGAUCAUCCUAUCCAGCUUCACAAACUCAAAGUGGGAGUCAUUCUUUGACAUUUCAUAAUUACCUAUGCAUAAACAAGGUUUCGUAGAUCAAGCUUUCUGGCCCACCCCUCGUGCAUAGCAGCAUAGGUCACACUCGUAGGCUGAAAUGUAUAUUAACUAUCUCAAAUUGCAACAUUGCACCAUGGGGCCAAACCGCUGAAAAGCUUAUACGUGAAUCACAUUUUGGUGCAUUGUGAAAUUCAGUGGGAUUCUAGAGAGCGUGCGUGUUUGGCGACAAAUGCCCCCCAUAAAUACCAUGAAUACCUUGCCAAGUCUCUGGUGGUAACAUGAAUUAGGUACCCUUUAUCUAUUUUGGUUUGCCGAUCCUCAUUCUUGAUUCUCCAUCUGAAGGUAAUAGAGUAAGUAGUUGCAUAUUUUAGAAAUUGUGUGCAACUUUAGGUCUAGAAAUAUGCAAAAAAAAGGGGGUAUGUUUUUAGCCCAAAUCUACUCUACCAAUUUUUAGUCAUGAGUUUUUUUGUAUUUGUUUGAUGUUUGCAUGCCAAUGCUCCUGAUCUCACUCUAUUCAAUUUUUAUUUUGGCAACAUUGGCUUCUCAUGGGAGUAGCAAAACUUUGAGCAGUUUUUGGUUGGGAACCUUAGGAUCAAAUCAAACAUACUCGAAAUGAGCAAUCAGACGAGUUGCAUAAUUCUGAAUUGAACUUUAAGCUUCAUGCAUGUCGUGCAACUUUGUCAAACUCCAUCUAAUCUAUAAAAAGUGUCGCCCAUUUUGUAGCGAGGGCCUACUUGGUAGGCCAAAAGUUACACAUAAUGUAUGUUUUGCGCAACUGUUUGCUUGAUGUUUUUGUGCAAAUUGUUCGAUUUAGAAACUACAUUUUUUUUUCUAUCUAACUUAUAAACACCAAUUCAAUCCUCACAAAUUAUGUUGGCCUGUUGGCGCGAGUGCGGCAUGCACGUCCAGGAGAAAUCUGCAGCCAUAUAUACGGAUAUACCCAUUAAUCGCCCGUCCAGCAAUCUCGUGCGCUGCAUGUGCUCGGCCGAGCCCACCGCGCGUGCAAGUGCAACCUGCCGAGCCAUCUCCAGUCGCUUUCCCCUGUGCCCCUAGCUUCUUGCGCCCACUCAUCAUCGUGCACAACCAAAGCGAACGGGUAGGCCGCGCUAGGUGCGUCCCGCAAUCAUAGCCGCCGUCGCAGAAACACUCCCGUCCGCGCACCCUCCACUAGCUAGCUAGUCGCGGCCGGGGGCCAUGCCAUUGCCGCCCCGGCCCUCUCGAUGUCACCUCAUUCUCCAUCCAUCCAUCUAUUCAUAAUCCCCAUCUUUAUUUUCUGCCGCUCUACAGCUUUAGCACCGAUCUCUGGUAGACCGGAGAUGCUACUGCUAUGUAGUACCAGUAGCGUUAGCUAGCUGCUAGCGCUAAGCUACUGCCGACAGAGUCCAUUGCUAGCUAGCCAGGUACUUCAUGCCUAGUAAAGGAUGAGGGCUCCCAUGGCCGUCAAGCGUGCGGCCAUUCUCCACCUCCUCCUCCACCUCGUGUUCUUCCAUGUUGCGGCUUUGGCGGGCAAGCGGCCGAUUGCAAUGGUCCGGCGGCGGCAGGGGCAGCACCUGCUGCAGGAGAAGGCCACGCUCCUGGAAUUGAAACGCUCGCUCACCUUGCUGUCGCCGUCGGCGCCCCUGCUGGCCGACUGGAACGAGUCCAACCCUGACUCGUGCGGCUUCACCCGCGUCACCUGCGACUGGAGGCGGCAGCACGUCACCAAGCUUGCGCUAAACGAUAUGAACAUCUCCGGCACCAUCCCACCGCUGAUCGCCAACCUCACACGCCUCAGGAGCCUCGACAUGUCCAGCAACUUCCUGACGGGGCAGAUCCCAGCCGAGCUCUCCAACCUCCGCUGGCUCGGCGUCCUCAACCUCGGCCGGAACCAGCUUAGUGGCGGCAUACCGCCAUCGCUAUCUGCGCUGGCGAACUUGUUCUACCUCAGACUCAGGGAGAACCGCCUCUCAGGCCCUAUCCCUGCUGCGAUCUUCAAGAACUGCACCGACCUGGGUCUCGUCGACUUCGCCAACAACAACCUCUCCGGCGAGAUCCCCCGUGACACUGACACCUCGGGUGACUUCUGCGCCUACUCAGUUUUCGUCCUUAACCUCUUCUCCAACAGGCUAACCGGGAAGCUCCCACGGUGGCUCGCCAACUGCACGUACCUUUACCUGUUGGACGUGGAGAACAAUAGGCUCGCCGACGAGCUCCCCACUAACAUCAUAUCAGGCAAACAGCAGCUCGUGUACCUGCAUUUGUCCAACAACGAUCGGUUCCUGAGCCACGACGGCAACACCAACCUGGAGCCCUUCUUUGCCGCGGUAUCCAAUUGCUCCCAGAUACUGGAGAUAGAGGCCGGCGCUUUGGGGAUUGGCGGGCUGCUGCCGAGCCUGUUAGGCUCGAUGCUCCCGCCCAACAUGUCGCACCUCAACCUGGAGCUCAACAAGAUCGAGGGCCCGAUUCCAGCCGACAUCGGGGAUGUGAUAAACAUCACGCUGAUGAACCUGUCCAGCAAUCAGCUGAACGGGACUGUCCCGGCGUCCAUCUGUGCAUUGCCAAAGCUCGAGCGCCUCUCCCUUUCCAACAACAACCUGACGGGCGAGAUCCCCGCAUGCAUAGGCAACGCCACAAGGCUCGGCGAGCUUGACCUAUCGGGCAAUGCACUGUCAGGGAGCAUCCCUAGCGGAAUCGGGACCCAGCUUGAAAACCUCUACCUGCAGAGCAACCGCCUUUCCGGGGCGAUACCAGCAACCCGCCUCGCGGAGUGCAUCCGCCUGCUGCACCUUGAUCUCUCUGACAACCGCCUGACUGGCGAGAUACCAGACAAGGUCUCCGGGACAGGCAUCGUAUCUCUGAACCUGUCAUGCAACCGGAUCAGCGGUGAGCUGCCACGGGGGCUCGGCGACAUGCAGCUGGUGCAAGUGAUUGACCUUUCCUGGAACAACUUCACCGGCCCGAUCUCCCCGCAGCUCGCGGUGGGCUGCCCUGAGCUGGAGGUCCUUGACCUGUCACACAACUCGCUUAGGGGCGACCUACCGUUGUCCCUUGACCUCCUCAAAGAUCUCCAAAACCUGGACGUCUCCGACAACUCCCUGACCGGCCAGAUCCCUGUGAACCUGACGAAAUGCACCAGCCUGAAACAUGUCAACCUGUCGUACAACAACUUCAUCGGGGAUGUGCCCACCACUGGCAUCUUCGCGAGCUUCACCUACCUGUCCUACAUCGGCAACCCAGGGCUCUGCGGCUCGGUGGUCAGGCGCAACUGCCAAAGACACCCCCAGUGGUACCAGUCCCGGAAGUACUUGGUGGUGAUGAGCGUAUGUGCGGCCGUGCUGGCAUUCGUGUUGACAAUCCUGUGUGCAGUCAGUUUCUGGAAGAUCCGUGAUCGGCUCGCAGCGAUGCGAGAGGACAUGUUCAGGGGCCGACGCAGCGGAGGCUCAUCGCCAGUGGUGAAGUACAAGUACCCGCGGGUCACGUACCAGGAACUGGUUGAGGCGACGGAGGAGUUCAGCACGGACCGGCUCGUCGGGACGGGCAGUUACGGUCGGGUGUACCGUGGCACACUGCGUGAUGGCACCAUGGUUGCCGUGAAGGUGCUGCAGCUCCAGUCAGGGAACUCGACCAGGAGCUUCAACCGCGAGUGCCAGGUCCUGAAGCGCAUCCGGCACCGGAACCUCAUGCGGAUCAUCACGGCGUGCAGCCUGGCGGACUUCAAGGCGCUGGUUCUGCCGUUCAUGGCGAAUGGCAGCCUCGAGCGGUGUCUCUACGCGGGGCCGCCUGCCGAGCUCAGCCUGGUGCAGCGUGUCAACAUCUGCAGCGACAUAGCCGAAGGGAUGGCCUACCUGCACCACCACUCGCCGGUCAAGGUCAUCCAUUGCGACCUCAAACCGAGCAAUGUCCUCAUCAACGACGACAUGACCGCGCUCGUCUCCGACUUCGGCAUCUCCCGGCUGGUCAUGAGCGUCAGCGGGGUGUCCAACACUGCCGACGUGGGCGCCUCCACGGCCAACAUGCUGUGUGGCUCUAUCGGAUACAUUCCUCCAGAGUACGGCUACGGCUCCAACCCGACAACAAAGGGCGACGUGUACAGCUUCGGCGUGCUGGUGAUGGAGAUGGUAACAAAGAAGAAGCCGACCGACGACAUGUUUGAUGCCGGGCUGAGCCUGCACAAGUGGGUCAAGAGCCACUACCACGGCCAGGCCCACGCUGUGGUCGACCAGGUGCUGGCCGGCAUGGUACUGGACCAGACACCUGAGGUGAGGAGGAUGUGGGACGUUGCCAUCGGCGAGCUGCUGGAGCUUGGCAUCCUCUGCACCCAGGAGAGCGCGUCCACGCGGCCGACCAUGAUAGACGCCGCCGACGACCUGGACCGGCUCAAACGGUACCUCGGCGGCGACACGACGGUUACAUUCGCGUCCUCGCUGGGCUUCUCAUCCACGAUUGUUGAAGAUAUUGAUGACUAGCUGGUAGUAGCAAAGAUUGUGAAUGCAUAGCUAGGUAUUUGUGCGAUUCUGACAGGAAUAGAUGGUCUCUUCUGAAUAUGCAGGAUUCAUUCGGCUGUUGCGGAAAGGGCUCGCUGAAGAUCGUCUACGGUGAAGUUGGAGUCGUCACUCGUCAGUUCGGGAGGAUUGAUUUGUGAUGGGAUGACGCUUGCAGGCAACCUAGGUGGUGGUGUUCUGCUCGGCGGCAUGCUUUGAGUGCAGGUUGGUAGCCAGAUUGGCCAAGGGUGUCGGGUGUCAUGUUCCAUGACGGCGGUUUGUCUGCUCGUUGUGACGGUUUUCAACCCGUUUUUCACUAAUUAACCGGACAAUCCUCUUCAGAUUAAUUAAUAGAUUGAGUUCUCCUUACCAUCUACUUAACUUGUAAUGUAUAUGUCUUUAUAAAAGGAUCAUGAUGAUGCAUAACCA